UGGACGCUUGCUCCCUUUCCACACCCUGCUCUCUGUUAUAUCUUUUCCUUUCAUUUGGAAUUAGCCUAUGGGAUUCUGGGGACAGUUGGCACCUGGGCUGGAGCUUAGGCCUAUGUGUUUAUACAACCGUUAAGGUGGGGUGCUGUGUGGCAGUCCCUAACCUAAGACUUCAUCUGUCCAGAGCGGGACCAGCACCUCUGAAGGGUGGAGAGGGACUGACUAGUCUGGAUGUUGGUUCCCCUGUGGCCUUCCUACCCGUGGCCAGGGUAAGAAGCAGGCUUCUAGGGCCAGAGGCAGAACCUUGUACUCUUUGGAACUUCCCAUUUUCAGAGAUAAGAGAGAUUCAGUUUGGGGGGACCUUGUUCAGAGUGGGUUCCCUUCCUGCCUUGCCUUGUGUAGAUUAGGGACAAAAUUAAAGGUGCUGAGUCUUAACGCACUCCCCCCCCCAAUCCUCAAUUUCGCUGAACCCCAGCCAGGUAGGAGCUUGCUUUAGGGCCAGGUUCAGAAGGAGGGGUCAUGGUCCAGGCUCUGUAGGGUUUGAAAUAAAGGACAGUUGGAAGUUAGUUUAUCUCGGAUACCUGUUCUGUGAGAUCGGGCAAGGCACUGUCACAAAACCAGCCCUGCCUCAGUUUCCUUAUCAGUGGGUGACUAAUGACAAGAUAAGAGUUAACAAGAUGGUGUGGGUUCCACGGCAGCCAGACACACUCUAGGUGAGGAGUCAGGCAAGGCCAUCCACCCUGUGCCUCUCAGGUGGCUUAGUGGCCCUGCAGAGAUCGGAAGAAUCUUCUCUCAUUCUGCCCAACCUGUUCCCAGGCCCAUUUGGGGAUACACAGCCCAGUCCAGUCAGAGUGCUUUAUUUAGUAUCCCUGACCCGUGCUAGGAUGAAGCCACAAUAUAAAGAUGCUCUCUGGGACACCCCAGCUGGGAGUCUCAGUCAACAUGCCUGCUCCUCCCUCCUCCCCAAACUGCUUGUGGACUUGGAGCCCCCUGCCUUUGCUGUGGUACUGAUUACUGAACUCCCAGGGGUACGGGCUAGGAUAUCUAGGAGGUUGGAUACCCAGGAUGGAAUUCUUUGUGGACCAUCAUUUCCCUGCUUUCCUCUGCCAUCCUGGCUGAUGGUGGUGAACAUGGCUGUCCCUGUUGGUUCCGGAGAUGUCUGUCUGAGUCCAUGCUAGAACUUAUGUCCUAUAAACUGCCCGAGAUAGUCUCAGAGUUGAGGUCUGUUUCCACCCAGCCUGGGCACCUGUUUAUCCUGUGCCUCCUCCCCAGGCAGGCAGAGAGGUUUUUGCAGAGGUGUAUUCCUUAAGGGAAAACCAGUGGUCUCUCUCUCUCCAAACCUCCUGGUGCCCUCCAUUAUCGUGGCUCCCCCGGAGUGGCGCCAGCAGACAGCGCAGUCGUCGGUGCCAACAGCCGUGGCCUCCGCUGUCCUCAUUCUCUCUGGGCUUCACCUUCACCUUCACCACCUAGAAAGAGGAGAGUCGGACCUGUUUCCUGAAUCAACAUUUCUGCCUCACAAUAGCGAGUGCUCCACACAAUGGAAACAGUGUCACCGGAGGCUCUGAGACUUGGCUGUGCUUGUACGGCAUAGGAAGUUACAGCUGUUUAGAAAUAGCAACUCCAGCCAUGCCACAUCUGGACAGAAUUCAUGUCUGGAGAACCAAAGGCUUAGUAUUCUGCUGUGGGAUCCUUGUUGGCUAAUGUGCUUUGUGGUGUCCCUUCCUUCUCUGGGGACACAUGGGAGCCCUAUCCAGUUCCUCAUGCACUGGUAGGGCUUCUCUCUAGAAGCCGGAUCUACUGAGCCUUUACAGGGUUGGGGUGCUCAUGAUGGGGCAAGGACUGUGUUUGGGGGCCGUCCUCUUUGGGGAGCUGGGUAGGUAGGUUCUCCUUCUAAGCAGCCCUGGCCCCUCUGCUCUGGUGUUUGGCUUUCUUGGUAUAUCAUAAUGGCAGCACUUUAGUGUGUGUGGCGGUAAUUGUCUGUCAGUGGAGAUGCAGUGACUGGCUUGUGUGGUUGGGCCACCUUUUCUGAGCUUCUGCAUUCUUCCCUGCUAGGUGGACUGCGAGGGUGCGGCUGGCCCUCUGGCAGUGCGGGGCAAGGCGGCAGCCCGCUUGUGUAGGUAGGUGGCUGUUGGGACAGUUGCUGUGGUGUGUCAAGAGUGGAGAAACAGCAAUCCUGAAUCUAGAGAGAUAAGAUGGGAGCCUUGCAAAGUGAGUCACAGGUGAAUGCCGUGAGGCAGAUCCUCUCUCCCCGGCCUCAGGUGGCCAUUUCCAGGGAGGCCUCCACCCCAGGGCCGUUUGACCAUAAACAGGGUCUCUGGAAGGUUUGGAAUGUGAGCUCUGUGAGCUGACUGGGGACUUUUUGGUACCAUUCAUAGUGGCCUUGGGGCUGCAUUCUCCUUGGCUUUUCCCUGGUGGCUUCCAGCUUUUCUUCAUUCUAGACAGAACUAGAAAAUAGUGGUUAGAGAAGGGGCGAAAGUCCUUAGCCAGGUGUGGGCCAGCAUUAGGGAGGAGGCCUAGCCCAGCCCAGGUGGGUGGGCCCAGGGCAGCUGUACCAGGUCAGAGCCUGUGGCUGAUGGAGAAAUGCCGAAUAAAGAAAAAAAAAUCCUGCUGUGACUUAGGGGUUUUCCUAAUUGUAGAAAACAUCGAUCUUUUCUCCUGGGGUGUCUGUGUGUGGCCAGUACUGAAGGCCUGGGAGGGGACUUUCAGCUAUAAGUCACCACUAAUAACAUUUGACAUCUAAAGGCUAUUGUUAAGACUAUUUGGUGUUUGAAUUAUAACCAGGGUUGUGAUUAUACUUAAGCCUGUGAUUAAAGUCCCCUGUGGUUAGACAGGAAGACAGGAAGCGUUAGCCUAUC
rnacentral:lncRNA from 1 species